CUCCCGGGCACGGUCUGGAGACGGUGGCGGCGAGCUGGGUGAGCCCGGAGUGCGGCGGAGAGCGGUAUUUAACGGGCAGCCUCUCUCCGCCCUCGCACCCCCCUCCUGGGUAAGCCCUUUAGCGCCUCGGCGCGCGCGGGAGGCUGCUGCGGGCGCUAAUCCACGUCCCGGCUUUCCACCGCGCGCGGUCCCGUGAGCGGCUCGCGGCCAGCGCUCCGAGGGGCGCUGCGGGGAUCCUGCACCGGCUGCUGCGAGGUCGCGCUGGCCGCAGGGCUGCAGGAACACACUCCCCGCUUCCCAGCAGCCACCUGUGUGUGUGCGUGUCUGUGUGCUUCGCCGCGGGGCAGACCGGUACCAGGAGUGGCCGGCACCAAGCGGGAUGGGGAAGACCGGGAGUGCGAGUGCGGGGGAGUGUGUGCGUGCGUGCGCGUGUGCUGGUGUGUGCGCGCCGGGGGAGGCGGUAGAGGCCGCUGCGCCCUGGCUCGGCGCCUGCCGAAGAGGAUUGCAAGGUUUAGCCUAGCCGGAGCUGGGGAUUUGCAGGCGAUCCCUCUCUAUUUUUGUCCAGAGCUGACAUCACCCGCGCCGCAGCCUGGGGCGACUUCUUUAACUGUCGCCCCUGCCCCCCAUCUUUAGACGUUGUCCCUUUUCUGUUGUCCCUCCCCCACCAGCCUCCAGUCAUAAAUUAGGAAAAAAAAAAAAAAAGGCACCGCCGGUAGUCCGGGAACGCUUUGGAAAGCCAGUGGCAGGAUCCCAGGGUCUAAGGAGUCGCUAUUGUUUCCUCUCCAGUCUGAGUGGCCCUGGGUCACCCUGUGCUGGGCCAAGCGCUGAGACCCGGGAUGCCCCUCCGUCCCCAAUCCUUGGAGAAGCCUUGGCACUCCCCAUCACUCCCUGGACAUCUGCUCGGGCUCACAUCACACAGGCCGGCACACCCACCCACAUCCUACCACUUCUGAGAGAAGAAGUCCCACUGAAUCUGAGCUGCAGAAACACUCAGGAUUCUAGCCCAGAGGCUUUCUCAUCCAUGCUCCACAUCUUCGCUUCUUUGCAUGCGUGGCAAACUGGAGGGGUCACCUUCGUUCUCAAUAAGUAACUGAAUGAACUGCAUUCAAAAACUGUUCUGUUAAACCAGGUGUGGUGCUGUAUGCUUGUAAUGCCAGUGCCUAGCAGGCUGGGGUAGGAUGUUCUCAAGUUUGAGACAGGUGUGGGCUACAGAGUAAGCACAUGCUUCAGAAACCAAAAGAAGAAAAAGAAAGUUCUGUUAACUUUGGGGGAUCUUUGGAGGAUUGUUUCCUGGGCAAAGGAAGACUAGGCACAUGAAAGAAAUGAGGAGAAGAAUGUGGGGUGGGGUUAGUCAAGGUUAGCUCCCCUGUCCUGUUUUUGUUUGCUUGUUUUGUUUUUUGUUUUUAUUUUUGUUUUGGAGAUUUUUGUGGUUUUUGUUUUUUGUUUGUCUGUCUGUUUGUUUGUUUGUUUGUUUUUGCCUGCCAAUUACGUUGACCAGCUCUGUGUUCCCUUCAGCUUAAGGAACCUGACUCUGAUUUGAAGAGAUGGCCCUUGAAGAGGCUCUUGGUUAGAUUCUUAGCACCCACUUGGCAGCUCAUACCUGUCUCUGCCACCCCCUUUCCAGGCUAUCUGACACCUUCUUCCGGCCUCCACAGGUUCCUAUUGCUCCCAGUGCACAGACACGAAAUAUAAAAAUUAAAAUUAAAAAGGGUUUUGAUAAAUCAGAAAUAAAAUCUUUAAUUAUCCCUUCA
rnacentral:lncRNA from 1 species